AGAACAGACAGAGGAGCGUUACAGUAUGAGUAUCGCGGCAUGAUAAAGUCUUUCGGCGAGACGGUUGUAUGCUGCGGGAAAGGGCUUAACGCCGAAGAAUUUUGUGCACGCCGGGCAUGAGCUUCUGGGGGUACGGUCAAUAGCCGUAUCACUGUCACCGUCAUUUGGCGGUGUUGCGCUGCUGCGACU
rfam:Catabacter hongkongensis strain HKT16 2806ref_2ab_c1, whole genome shotgun sequence.